rnacentral:rRNA from 1 species
UACGGAGGGUGCGAGCGUUGUCCGGAAUCAUUGGGCGUAAAGAGCUCGUAGGCGGUUUGUCGCGUCUGCCGUGAAAGUCCGGGGCUCAACUCCGGAUCUGCGGUGGGUACGGGCAGACUAGAGUGAUGUAGGGGAGACUGGAAUUCCUGGUGUAGCGGUGAAAUGCGCAGAUAUCAGGAGGAACACCGAUGGCGAAAGGCAGGUCUCUGGGGCAUUAACUGACGCUGAGGAGCGAAAGCAUGGGGAGCGAAC